CCCUUAGAUGUUCUGGGCUGCACGCGCGCUACACUGGUGCGUUCAGCGAGUUUAGCACCUUAACAGAUAUGUUUGGGUAAUCUUCUGAAAACGCACCGUGAUGGGGAUCGAUUAUUGUAAUUAUUAAUCGUCAACGAGGAAUUCCUAGUAAGUGUGAAUCAUCAGUUCGCGCUGAUUACGUCCCUGCCCUUUGUACACACCGCCCGUCGCUACUACCGAUUGAAUGGUUUAGUGAGAUCUUCGGAUUGGCGCCACUGCGGCUCAGCAAUGGGCUCGGUGGAUGCCGAAAAGUUGAUCAAACUUGAUCAUUUAGAGGAAGUAAAAGUCGUAACA
rnacentral:rRNA from 1 species